UGGGUGGCGCAGUGGCGGACGGGUGAGGAAACAUCGGAAUCUACCUUUUCGUGGGGGAUAACGUAGGGAAACUUACGCUAAUACCGCAUACGACCUUCGGGUGAAAGCAGGGGACCUUCGGGCCUUGCGCGGAUAGAUGAGCCGAUGUCGGAUUAGCUAGUUGGCGGGGUAAAGGCCCACCAAGGCGACGAUCCGUAGCUGGUCUGAGAGGAUGAUCAGCCACACUGGAACUGAGACACGGUCCAGACUCCUACGGGAGGCAGCAGUGGGGAAUAUUGGACAAUGGGCGCAAGCCUGAUCCAGCCAUACCGCGUGGGUGAAGAAGGCCUUCGGGUUGUAAAGCCCUUUUGUUGGGAAAGAAAAGCAAUCGAUUAAUACUCGGUUGUUCUGACGGUACCCAAAGAAUAAGCACCGGCUAACUUCGUGCCAGCAGCCGCGGUAAUACGAAGGGUGCAAGCGUUACUCGGAAUUACUGGGCGUAAAGCGUGCGUAGGUGGUUGUGUAAGUCUGUUGCGAAAUCCCUGGGCUCAACCUGGGAAUUGCAGUGGAUACUGGGCAACUAGAGUGUGG
rnacentral:rRNA from 1 species